AGAGUUUGAUCAUGGCUCAGAAUGAACGUUGGCGGCGUGGAUUAGGCAUGCAAGUCGUUCGUCCCGCAAGGGACGAGGCGCAAGGGUGAGUAAUGCGGAGGCAACCAACCCCACACUUGGGUAUAGCCGCGGGAAACCGCGGGUAAUCCCCAGCGACGUCGCGGAGGGACAUCCUUCUGCGACCAAAGGUGUGAUUCCGGUGCGGGACGGGCCUCCGUGGUAUCAGCUUGUUGGCGGGGUAAUGGCCCACCAAGGCUAUGACGCCUACCGGGCGUGCGAGCGUGGCCCAGCACACUGGGACUGAGACACUGCCCAGACUCCUACGGGAGGCUGCAGUCGAGAAUCUUCGGCAAUGGGCGCAAGCCUGACCGAGCGACGCCGCGUGGAGGACGAAGGCCUUCGGGUUGUAAACUCCUGUCGAGGGGGAGGAAGGCGGCGCGAAGAGCGUCGCUUGACCGAUCCCUGGAGGAAGCACGGGCUAAGUUCGUGCCAGCCGCCGCGGUAAUAC
rnacentral:rRNA from 1 species